rnacentral:rRNA from 1 species
UACGUAGGUGUCGAGCGUUGUCCGGAUUUAUUGGGCGUAAAGAGCCCGCAGGCGGCUUGGCAAGUUUGAGGUGAAAUCUCCCGGCUUAACUGGGAGGGGGCCUCGAAAACUGCCAGGCUUGAGGCAUGGAGAGGGAUGCGGAAUUCCCGGUGUAGUGGUGAAAUGCGUAGAUAUCGGGAGGAACACCAGUGGCGAAGGCGGCAUCCUGGCCAUGUCCUGACGCUCAGGGGCGAAAGCGUGGGUAGCAAACAGG